rnacentral:rRNA from 1 species
UACAGAGGUCCCGAGCGUUGUUCGGAUUCAUUGGGCGUAAAGGGUGCGUAGGUGGCGCCAUAAGUCAGGUGUGAAAUCUCGGGGCUCAACUCCGAAACUGCACUUGAUACUGUGGUGCUCGAGUACUGGAGAGGAGAUUGGAAUUUACGGUGUAGCAGUGAAAUGCGUAGAUAUCGUAAGGAAGACCAGUGGCGAAGGCGAAUCUCUGGACAGUUACUGACACUGAGGCACGAAGGCCAGGGGAGCAAACGGG